UCCUGUGUAAGAAGAACAUAUUCUGAGAGUACUGUUCAGGUAUUGACGGUAUUUAACCCAGAAAGCACGGCUAACUACGUGCCAGCAGCCGCGGUAAUACGUAGGUGGCAAGCGUUGUCCCGGAUUUAUUGGGCGUAAAGCGAGCGCAGGCGGUUUUUUAAGUCUGAUGUGAAAGCCUUCGGCUCAACCGAAGAAGUGCAUCGGAAACUGGGAAACUUGAGUGCAGAAGAGGACAGUGGAACUCCAUGUGUAGCGGUGAAAUGCGUAGAUAUAUGGAAGAACACCAGUGGCGAAGGCGGCUGUCUGGUCUGUAACUGACGCUGAGGCUCGAAAGUAUGGGUAGCAAACAGGAUUAGAUACCCUGGUAGUCCAUACCGUAAACGAUGAAUGCUAAGUGUUGGAGGGUUUCCGCCCUUCAGUGCUGCAGCUAACGCAUUAAGCAUUCCGCCUGGGGAGUACGGCCGCAAGGCUGAAACUCAAAGGAAUUGACGGGGGCCCGCACAAGCGGUGGAGCAUGUGGUUUAAUUCGAAGCUACGCGAAGAACCUUACCAGGUCUUGACAUACUAUGCAAAUCUAAGAGAUUAGACGUUCCCUUCGGGGACAUGGAUACAGGUGGUGCAUGGUUGUCGUCAGCUCGUGUCGUGAGAUGUUGGGUUAAGUCCCGCAACGAGCGCAACCCUUAUUAUCAGUUGCCAGCAUUAAGUUGGGCACUCUGGUGAGACUGCCGGUGACAAACCGGAGGAAGGUGGGGAUGACGUCAAAUCAUCAUGCCCCUUAUGACCUGGGCUACACACGUGCUACAAUGGAUGGUACAACGAGUUGCGAACUCGCGAGAGUAAGCUAAUCUCUUAAAGCCAUUCUCAGUUCGGAUUGUAGGCUGCAACUCGCCUACAUGAAGUCGGAAUCGCUAGUAAUCGCGGAUCAGCAUGCCGCGGUGAAUACGUUCCCGGGCCUUGUACACACCGCCCGUCACACCAUGAGAGUUUGUAACACCCAAAGUCGGUGGGGUAACCUUUAGGAACCAGCCG
rnacentral:rRNA from 2 species